rnacentral:rRNA from 1 species
UUGAACGCUGGCGGCAGGCCUAACACAUGCAAGUCGAGCGGUAGCACAGAGAGCUUGCUCUCGGGUGACGAGCGGCGGACGGGUGAGUAAUGUCUGGGAAACUGCCUGAUGGAGGGGGAUAACUACUGGAAACGGUAGCUAAUACCGCAUAAUGUCGCAAGACCAAAGUGGGGGACCUUCGGGCCUCAUGCCAUCAGAUGUGCCCAGAUGGGAUUAGCUAGUAGGUGGGGUAACGGCUCACCUAGGCGACGAUCCCUAGCUGGUCUGAGAGGAUGACCAGCCACACUGGAACUGAGACACGGUCCAGACUCCUACGGGAGGCAGCAGUGGGGAAUAUUGCACAAUGGGCGCAAGCCUGAUGCAGCCAUGCCGCGUGUGUGAAGAAGGCCUUCGGGUUGUAAAGCACUUUCAGCGGGGAGGAAGGCGUUAAGGUUAAUAACCUUGGCGAUUGACGUUACCCGCAGAAGAAGCACCGGCUAACUCCGUGCCAGCAGCCGCGGUAAUACGGAGGGUGCAAGCGUUAAUCGGAAUUACUGGGCGUAAAGCGCACGCAGGCGGUCUGUCAAGUCGGAUGUGAAAUCCCCGGGCUCAACCUGGGAACUGCAUUCGAAACUGGCAGGCUAGAGUCUUGUAGAGGGGGGUAGAAUUCCAGGUGUAGCGGUGAAAUGCGUAGAGAUCUGGAGGAAUACCGGUGGCGAAGGCGGCCCCCUGGACAAAGACUGACGCUCAGGUGCGAAAGCGUGGGGAGCAAACAGGAUUAGAUACCCUGGUAGUCCACGCCGUAAACGAUGAGUGCUAGGUGUUGGGUCCUUUCCGGGACUCAGUGCCGCAGCUAACGCAUUAAGCACUCCGCCUGGGGAGUACGACCGCAAGGUUGAAACUCAAAGGAAUUGACGGGGGCCCGCACAAGCGGUGGAGCAUGUGGUUUAAUUCGAUGCAACGCGAAGAACCUUACCUGGUCUUGACAUCCACAGAACUUUCCAGAGAUGGAUUGGUGCCUUCGGGAACUGUGAGACAGGUGCUGCAUGGCUGUCGUCAGCUCGUGUUGUGAAAUGUUGGGUUAAGUCCCGCAACGAGCGCAACCCUUAUCCUUUGUUGCCAGCGGUUAGGCCGGGAACUCAAAGGAGACUGCCAGUGAUAAACUGGAGGAAGGUGGGGAUGACGUCAAGUCAUCAUGGCCCUUACGACCAGGGCUACACACGUGCUACAAUGGCAUAUACAAAGAGAAGCGACCUCGCGAGAGCAAGCGGACCUCAUAAAGUAUGUCGUAGUCCGGAUUGGAGUCUGCAACUCGACUCCAUGAAGUCGGAAUCGCUAGUAAUCGUAGAUCAGAAUGCUACGGUGAAUACGUUCCCGGGCCUUGUACACACCGCCCGUCACACCAUGGGAGUGGGUUGCAAAAGAAGUAGGUAGCUUAACCUUCGGGAGGGCGCUUACCACUUUGUGAUUCAUGACUGGGGUG